AGAGACAGCAGUCGCCACGGUAAUACGUAGGUGGCAAGCGUUGUCCGGAAUUAUUGGGCGUAAAGGGCUCGCAGGCGGUUUCUUAAGUCUGAUGUGAAAGCCCCCGGCUCAACCGGGGAGGGUCAUUGGAAACUGGGAAACUUGAGUGCAGAAGAGGAGAGUGGAAUUCCACGUGUAGCGGUGAAAUGCGUAGAGAUGUGGAGGAACACCAGUGGCGAAGGCGACUCUCUGGUCUGUAACUGACGCUGAGGAGCGAAAGCGUGGGGAGCGAACAGGAUUAGAUACCCCUGUAGUCCCUGUCUCUUAUAA
rnacentral:rRNA from 1 species